UUCCCUUUUUGUGAGCAGGAGCAGACUCAGUGCAGCUGCUGAGGGCAAAUGCGAUCGCAGCGCGGGCUGCAGCUGUCCUGUUAAGAGCUGCGACGUGUGCCACAUUUUUGCAAGUUGAGGCCAUUUCUAACUUACAAGAAGUGCCGAAAAAAACCAUUUUUUAGCUCCCUCGGCUCUAGGACACCGCCCCGGUGGAAACUCAUCUUAUUUGCCACCAGCUCCCGCAUCGCCCGGUCCCCAGAAAAUCCAGCUGUCCACGUGCAGGACAAAAGGCCGAGCUACAUGGCAGAGACUCCAUCAUCAGCUGGAAGUGGUAUUCAUCUUCGAGGCAUCCCUGGCCCGGUCUGCACUGGUCUGGCCCAAAGGUGGGAGCAGGAAGGGAUGCAGCCCAUUCAUAAAUGAAUCACGCACAUCUGAAUGGAGCUGGCAGGGGGAAGCGAUUUACAUAAGCUCGUGUCAUCGGGCGAGCAUGCGCGCUACCCAAGUCCUGAUGCGCACGGUAAGCGGAAGCUGACCCUGGACAGCUCUCAUUUCCAUAGCACCCUUGGGACCUACUCAUUUACUGCAGCAUCCCCUAAUCAUCAUAGCCCCAUGAUCGUUACACAAGUGCAAACGCUCCCGGAGACAUGUGCUGAUUAGUCUCACUAGCGGCACCGAGCCCCCGUUCUUUCACCAUCGUGGUGACCUGACAGAUGUGCGUAUCGCUGAAACCAGGGCUUUGCUUUGCACAACGUCAAUCAAUAAAGUGGAAAUACAGCCGUUAACACCACUUACAGU